rnacentral:tRNA from 1 species
GGGGUUUUAGCUCAGCUGGGAGAGCGCUUCGUUCGCAACGAAGAGGUCACGGGUUCGAGUCCCGUAAGCUCCACCA